UGUAAAUUAGUGUAUGAAGCACAUAAAUUUUUGAUAUUUAUAGUUAAGUUUAAUUCUUUAUUUUACAA
rnacentral:tRNA from 1 species